ACGAUUUAAUCCAUUUUGAAUUCAGGCUGUAACAACAAAAUGUGGAGUAUGUCAAGGGGUAUGAAUACUUUCGGGAAGGCACCAUAACCCCAAUCCUUGUUUGUGCUCAGUCCUCAUUGCCUAUGUGAUUUUAGAGCAAAUGUUCAGUUGAGUUAAAACACUCUGAAAGUAAAAGAUUUAAUCUAUACCGUCACUGUGAUGUUUAAUAAGUUUACCUUUCAAAUAUCUUGCAUUAACAAAACCCCAAUAUUACCUGAAUUUACAGGACACAACAGAUCCAGAACAUCAUCAUCGGAGUGUCUUAGCAGUAAUAAAAUCCUUAUUCAUUACAUUUCCAUUUCUACAUUCAGUAAUAGUAUAUUUUGUCCCGUGUUGACCUACUACUGUCUACUUCUAGUGUCAUAUGAAGGUAUUUUGUCCAUCCAAAGUUCGAAGGAGGUUGAGAACCCAUGGAAAGGCAUUACUCUAAACCGUUGCAUAGUGUUGGCCAUCAUCAUUGUGCUUGUGAGCUCAGGGGUGAAUGAAGUACAUGAUGCUCUGGAAAUAUUUCUAGAGGAGAAUGAUCUUACUCAGAUGUUACUUGGAGGCACAGAUCCACAGCCAGAUGGCACAGCUCAGCCUCUCUGUGGGACAGCUUGCUGAGUUGGGGAUCAGACCAUGGAACAAAUGGAAAACCAGAGAAGAGGGGGAGUCUUGAGGAUCAGAAAUAGAGAUGUGUCUGACAAAGGGCUGUGAAGGAAUGAUAGAAAGAGAGCAUUAUGGAGAAUGGUAAAGAGGCAUACAACAAAUAGGCUGACAUUUUCAGAAAGAAUAAUCAAAUAAUGUCAGUUUGCCAGGGUGUUUAUUCUAUCAAAGUAUAUACAGUGGGGAGAACAAGUAUUUGAUACACUGCCGAUUUUGCAGGUUUUCCUACUUACAAAGCAUGUAG